rnacentral:rRNA from 1 species
GGGCCCGCACAAGCGGUGGAUCAUGUGGUUUAAUUCGACGAUAAGCGGAAAACCUUACCCAGACUUGACAUUUAGCUGCAAAUCUCUGGAGACAGAGACUCCUUCGAGGGUGCUAAACAGGUGCUGCAUGGUUGUCGUCAGCUCGUGCCGUGAGGUGUAGCCUUAAGUGGUUUAACGAGCGCAACCCUCAUUCUAUGUUAAAUAUUCAUAGAAAACUGCCCUGCUCAACAGGGAGGAAGGUGAGGAUGACGUCAAAUCAGCAUGGCUCUUACGUCUGGGGCCACACACGUGAUACAAUGGUCGGUACAAAGGGUUGCUAAGUGGUAACACGGAGCUAAUCCCAUUAAAACCGAUCUCAGUUCGGAUUGAGGUCUGAAAUUCGACCUCAUGAAGUUGGAAUCGCUAGUAACCGUGAAUCAGCACGUCACGGUGAAUACGUUCUCGGGCCUU